rnacentral:piRNA from 1 species
UUAAAGUUGUGAUGUAAUAAAGG